rnacentral:rRNA from 1 species
UGUUUUUUAAAAAUUUUAAAAAAUAAGGCCUGCACACUGAAAAAUUUUAAAGAGCCGCGGUAAUUUGACCGUGCAAAGGUAGCAUAAUCAUUAGUUUUUUAAUUGAAGACUGGAAUGAAAGGUUUAAUAAGAAAUAAGCUUUAUUAUUUUAAAAAUAAAUGAAUUUAUUAUUUUAGUAAAAAAACUAAAAUACAGAUAAAAGACGAUAAGACCCUAUAAAGCUUUAUAAUAAUAACUUAUAUAAUUUUUUUAGAAUAAUAUAAAUUUUAUUUGUUAAUUAUUUAAUUGGGGUGAUUUAAAGAUUUAUUUAACUCUUUAUAAUUUUUUUUAAUAAUAGUUAAUAAAAAGAUCCUGAAAUUUUGGAUUUAAAAAUUAAGUUACUUUAGGGAUAACAGCGUAAUUUUUUUGGAGAGUUCAAAUCGAUAAAAGAGUUUGCGACCUCGAUGUUGGAUUAAGAUAUAAUUUUAGGUGUAGAAGUUUAAAUUUUUAGUCUGUUCGACUAUUUAUUCUUACGUGAUC